rnacentral:rRNA from 1 species
CCUACGGGAGGCAGCAGUGGGGAAUAUUGCACAAUGGGGGAAACUCUGAUGCAGCGACGCCGCGUGAGUGAAGAAGUAUUUCGGUAUGUAAAGCUCUAUCAGCAGGGAAGAAAAUGACGGUACCUGAUUAAGAAGCACCGGCUAACUACGUGCCAGCAGCCGCGGUAAUACGUAGGGGGCAAGCGUUAUCCGGAUUUACUGGGUGUAAAGGGAGCGUAGACGGCAGCACAAGUCUGGAGUGAAAUGCCGGGGCUUAACCCCGGAACUGCUUUGGAAACUGUGCAGCUAGAGUGCAGGAGAGGUAAGUGGAAUUCCUAGUGUAGCGGUGAAAUGCGUAGAUAUUAGGAGGAACACCAGUGGCGAAGGCGGCUAACUGGACUGCAACUGACGCUGAGGCACGAAAGUGUGGGGAGCAAACAGGAUUAGAUACCCGAGUAGUC